rnacentral:tRNA from 1 species
GGCUCAGUGGUCCGGUGGUAAAGCGCUCGUCACGUAGCCAGAGAGUCCUGGGUUCGAUCCCCAACGGGGUCG